GAUGAACGCUGGCGGCGUGCCUAAUACAUGCAAGUCGAGCGAACAGACGAGGAGCUUGCUCCUCUGAUGUUAGCGGCGGACGGGUGAGUAACACGUGGAUAACCUACCUAUAAGACUGGGAUAACUUCGGGAAACCGGAGCUAAUACCGGAUAACAUGUUGAACCGCAUGGUUCAACAGUGAAAGACGGUCUUGCUGUCACUUAUAGAUGGAUCCGCGCCGCAUUAGCUAGUUGGUAAGGUAACGGCUUACCAAGGCAACGAUGCGUAGCCGACCUGAGAGAGUGAUCGGCCACACUGGAACGGAGACACGGUCCAGACUCCUACGGGAGGCAGCAGUAGGGAAUCUUCCGCAAUGGGCGAAAGCCUGACGGAGCAACGCCGCGUGAGUGAAGAAGGUCUUCGGAUCGUAAAACUCUGUUAUUAGGGAAGAACAAAUGUGUAAGUAACUAUGCACGUCUUGACGGUACCUAAUCAGAAAGCCACGGCUAACUACGUG
rnacentral:rRNA from 1 species